GAAGGCAGGCCUGAACAAGACGCAUGUCACCCCGUCCGAUUUUCUGAAACAUUUAAAGGAGCCGGUGGCGGGAACGAGGCACGCCAUGCGGGCAGGCAGUUACAUGGAGGCCUCUCUGGACCUCCUGAAGAAGAAGUUGCAGAAGAAGUGGCCGAGACCCUUCAACAUCACAGAGGUCCUAAACACCAAGCAAAAAGAGACCAUCGCCUUGGCCACCGGUUGCGAUUACCCGAUCCGGCCCAUUGACUGUCCGGAGAACAGCCCUUAUCGGACGAUCACCGGGCAAUGUAACAACAGG